GUGACGAACACGGAGGAACUUGGAUACCGAUUGGUUGCAUACUCUGCCUACGGGAACGGCCUAGCUCAGGGAAGAGGCAAUGGGGUCGGUUACUCCUAAUCAGCAUCACCGCCACACAAUAAAAAUUUUUAGACAGAGUUAGGAAGGGGGUUACAGUCCUUUGGAAGGAUACGAAGUCGAGACAGGAAACCUUGCUAUUGAAGGAGUAAGGUGGUGAGGUUCUUCUGCUUGGCCCGCCCUACCUGUAAAGAAUCAACAACGAAUUAUUGCUGCCCUUACCCAUAUAUAUUGAAAUCGUUCAGCUCAGGUGCCCAUAAAAUUAAAAAUUUACUUCAUUUCAAAUAUCCGAAUUCAUG